UCCGGAGGGUGCAAUCGUUAUCCGGAAUCACUGGGUUUAAAGGGUGCGUAGGCGGCUUGGUAAGUCAGAGGUGAAAGCCCGCAGCUUAACUGCGGAACUGCCUUUGAUACUGCCGGGCUUGAAAGAGGUUGAGGACAGCGGAACGUGACAUGUAGCGGUGAAAUGCAUAGAUAUGUCGCAGAACACCAAUUGCGAAGGCAGCUGGCUGGGCCUGUUUUGACGCUGAGGCACGAAAGCGUGGGGAGAGAACGGG
rnacentral:rRNA from 1 species